UGAACCGAGGCUGGGACGAUGAUACCUGAGGGGAUGAGGUGAUUACAUCCACCUCAAUUUCUUAUCCAAUCGGCUCGGAGGAAGCAACACAUCGAUUUUCUUCAUUUUCUUCAUCUGGGAUGACAUAGUCUUCACCAAAUGGUACUAUUUCAUACGAAGGUACUGAGGAGAUAGGAGUGGCAUCAAUGGUUGAGGAACUUGGCAAAAUCCUCAAUCUUUGGGCAUCUGAGGAUUUUGCAAAGGAUGAUGCAUUUCUCUUUCGCGUGGCUUCCUUCUCUGCAACCUUUGUUUUCUUCGCUUAUGAUGCAGAAGGAGGUGUAUCUUCCUUCACCUUUGAAGAUUUUGCAGGUGGAGCGGAAGGUGAAGGUGAUGCAAUUUCUCUAGGCGAACAGUGGAGGUUGCCCUUGCAAUUUCUUUAGGAGCUGGAAUUUCUUCAGGAGCCCUUGCAAUGUCUUCAACAGGAGCUAGCCUGAGGAGUUUGAGAAUGCGAUGGAGCUGUAACCAUUGUGUUAUGGUCAAUGAUGACUUUGGUCGCCGCAUUGACGAAUCAGACCUUGGAACCUUACCAAUCAGCAUGGUAUCAGUUCUAUUAUUCACUUUGGUUUUUAAUCUCAGUUUGAGCAGAAAUAAGUUGAUGUGGAGUUAGGGAGAGAACGUUGUUCUUCAAGAAGCGUUCCUUCUUGUUUUGUUCCCUUCUAGACCUUUUGGCCUUUUCAUAUUUCCAUUUUUCUUCUGCUACAAGGGCAGCCAACACAUGACUUGGACCAGGUGGCAAUUUUAAGUCAUCAAUUGGGGUAUGAGGAUCUUUGUACCAGACAUCGAUAAGUCAAGCACUAUCCUUGGAUCCAUCAUGAGAGGAAUUUGAGUGCCCUUUGCUUGAGCUA